AAUCAACGCUGGCGGCGUGCCUAACACAUGCAAGUCGAACGAGAAAGUGGAGCAAUCCAUGAGUAAAGUGGCGACCGGGUGAGUAACACGUGACUAACCUACCCUCGAGUGGGGAAUAACCUCGGGAAACCGAGGCUAAUACCGCAUAACAUCGCAAGAUCAAAGCAGAAAUGCGCUUGAGGAGGGGGUCGCGGCUGAUUAGCUAGUUGGUAGGGUAAUGGCCUACCAAGGCUAGAUCGGUAGCCGGCCUGAGAGGGCGCACGGCCACACUGGAACUGAAACACGGUCCAGACUCCUACGGGAGGCAGCAGUGGGGAAUUUUGCGCAAUGGGGGAAACCCUGACGCAGCAACGCCGCGUGGAGGAUGAAGUCCCUUGGGACGUAAACUCCUUUCGACCGGGAAGAUACUGACGGUACCGGAAGAAGAAGCACCGGCUAACUCUGUGCCA
rnacentral:rRNA from 1 species